rnacentral:snRNA from 2 species
AGCUUUGCGCAGUGACAUUACCAUAGCUGAUGAGGUCCAUCCGAGGCGCGGUUAUUGCUGAUUGAAAACUUUUCCCAAUACCCCGCGAGACGACUUGAAACAUAGUCGGCUUUGCAAUUUUUGUGGGCCCUGCUUAGGG